rfam:Oryza sativa (indica cultivar-group) chromosome 9, whole genome shotgun sequence.
GAAGCAGGUGAUGAAAGCAAGACAGGGACAUCAGCACCCUCUUCUCUUUUGAGAGAGAUGGGAAUGAUCGACUAAGUCUAUAAUGGGAAUCUCUCUGAUGCUUU